rnacentral:lncRNA from 1 species
GACAACGGUGACAUUCAAUAGUAUAUAUCAAAAAAUAAAUACCAGAAAGAUAUAAAGUGUAUUUGCGAAAAAAGAAAAGUAUAAAGUGAAAAAAUAUAAUUGCAAUUUUAAAUACCAAAAAAACAUAGGACUACCACAAUGUAAUUAAUAAUUAUAUUAAGAUGUAAUAUGAUGUGAAAAACAUAUAUAAUCAGUUAAAUGCUAAAGACUUCAAACUAAAUGACUAAGUGAUGAGAUAAGAUAUUUGACAAUGAAUAAUAAAAAACCAUGCCAACCUUUCAAGAGGAAUGGUCAAUGAGCAAAUCAAACCCAUAGAGAAAUUCAAAUCAGGCCCUUUGUUGAUUCGCAUUUCAGACAGGGCUUUAGUAGAUAAAUGUUUGGAUUGUAGGACAAAUAACCUCGCAGUUUGGAGGUCCAGCACUUCUAUAAGGAAGUUAGGGGGAAUUGUAUAGAAUAUUAGAAAUAGAAGCCAUAAAAGACCAAUUAGCUAAGGGAAGUUGGUCUAAUAUGCCAACAAAGUUUUCUAUUCUUUUAUGGGGAGUGAAAUAGGAUCAUUUAAUUACUUUUAAGAAGCUGAGUUCAAGUCCCUCCUGUCUGUCUAUUAUGUAACCUGCAAGAGGAAUCUAGAAGUCACUUCUUCUUCAACUGUCCAUACUCCAGAUCCCUCCUAAUCCCAUUGGCAAACACCUAAGUUUCUCCUUUUGAAAGUUAAUGAAUAUCCCUAUUCCCACCCAAACAUGUCCGGAUAUAAAAUUGGAAUAUCUAACUGAGGCUGCGUAGAAAUUCACAGACCACUCACCCCCUUGGGGAAUACUCUGGAAUGCCACUGGGUGUUUGUUGUGGCAUAUCUGGACAGAGAGGAAUAAAAACUCCAGCAGACAACACACCAUUACUAGAUCUCCUGAAAUAGUUCUUAAAGAAAUAAUCGAAGACAUUAGUCUCUCCUUUGGACCAGAAAGUCACAAGAAGUGUUAUUGUCAUCCUUUGGAAACAACUAUUAUGGAAGUAUGGGAGAACUCUUGAGGCAGCGUAUCUAGUUAUGUAACUAUAGUACAUAGCUAAUUGGAGAGAGUAGAUGGGCCAUUGGAUCAUCCUCUUGUCUAACUUUUUUAUUCUGUAAUAUUAUUUCUCCAUGUAAUCAAGGAACUUCCCUUCAUUUUCUAAUGAAAAAGUUUAUUUUCUUUAAAAAAAAUGGUCAACGAGCAACUUGAAAGUAAUUUUAAAGAGAAAUGAGCGAUCAUUUUGCAUGACACAUGGAAUCUAUUUUCUAUGUACCUGAGAAUGGAUGCAAACAUUAAAAUUAUUAAAUCACCAAAUAUCUUCUAAAAACUCCCUUGAACAACAAAUAUUAAUAGAUGAAUAAAAUAGUUUAUUAUGGAUUUGUGGGACAGAAAGGAUUACAGAUUAAUUAUCAAAACUUCGAUAACCACAGGUAUCUAUGGUUUAUUAUGGAUUUGUGGGACAGAAAGGAUUACAGAUUAAUUAUCAAAACUUCGAUAACCACAGGUAUCUUGGUAAAUGAAUAAUCAUAACUACCUGAUCUAAACAUUUAUCGCCAAAUGUUCUCGUAGAGAUCCAUUCCUCAAGUAAUGCCUGCACAAAUAUGAAUAGAACUAAAAUAUUACCCUGGGAGAUUAAGUGCCAGUUUAUAAAAUGAUAGUUUCAACAUGCUAUAAUUAUUAUCUUUCCAAGAACAAUAUAUAUUAAAAUAGAAGAAGAAGAAAAUCAAAC